AACAUCUUCACGGGUUUCUCAACAUUCGCUCGAAGCAAAUCCUUCAAACGAUCGUCAUCUUUGUUCUGAUACAAAAUAAAUAAAGCCUAAUCUGUUCUGGAGGAUUCUUCACUAGUUCCGAAACGUGAAGCAUGCACAUAAUUGCAAUGAUACCGAUAGUCAAACACUGACCCGCAAAACAUGAUACCCCUCAGUUCCACCACCAGGAAUCUCAACGCUAUUCCCAGCUCCCAUUGUUAGAUGUUGUCCUCACUGUGACGCAACAAUAAAAA